rnacentral:rRNA from 1 species
AAUUUUGGACAAUGGGGGAAACCCUGAUCCAGCCAUCCCGCGUGUAUGAUGAAGGCCUNCGGGUUNUNAAGUACUUUUGGCAGAGNAGAAAAGGUAUCUCCUAAUACGAGAUCCUGCUGACGGUAUCUGAAGAAUAAGCACAGGCUAACUACGUGUCUGCAGCCGCGGUAAGACGUAGGGUGCAAGCGUUAAUCGGAAUUACAGGGCGUAAAGCGUGUUUAGGCGGUUCGGAAAGAAAGAUUGGAAAUCCCAGGGCUCAACCUUGGAACUGCAUUUUUAACUGCCGAGCUAGAGUAUGUCAGAGGGGGGUAGAAUUCCACGUGUAGCAGUGAAAUGCGUAGAUAUGUGGAGGAAUACCGAUGGCGAAGGCAGCCCCCUGGGAUAAUACUGACGCUCAGACACGAAAGCGUGGGGAGCAAACA